GUUCUACACACACACACACACACACACACACACACACACACACACACACACUCACGUGUCCAGAUGCUGACAGCAGCUGGAUUAUCAGACUGAGCACAGCUGGUUGGACCAGAAUCAGGACGCCUGAUCAGACAGGAGACACCUGAGACUGCAGACAGACAGACAGACAGACAGACAGACAGACAGACAGACAGACAGACAGACAGACACAGACAGACACACAGACAGACACACAGACAGACAGACACAGACAGACAGACAGACAGACAGACAGACACAGACAGACAGACAGACAGACAGACAGACACAGACAGACAGACACACACACACAGACAGACAGACAGACAGACAGACAGACAUACACAGACAGACAGACAGACAGACACACACACACACACACACACACAGACAGACAUACACAGACAGACAGACACACACACACACAGACAGACAGACAGACACACACACACACACACACACAGACAGACAGACAGACAGACACUGACAGACAGACAGACACAGACAGACAGACAGACAGACAGACAGACACACACACACACACACACAUACACACAGAGGAUUAUUGUCUCUGUGGAUUCCCCUUGAAAUCAAUGAAACGAGGCUCUAGAACCAGUACUGUUUUUGUCCACAGGGGGCACCAGAAUCAGCACAGGUUCCACAGGGGCUUUACAUUGCGAUAUUAUUGUGAUGUUGGUGUCUUUAAUGAGUGUGUCACUGCUGCAGGAGGUGCUGAAGCAGCUGCAGAGUAAACUGGAGCAGGAGGCAGGAACCCUGGCCUCGUCCGGGAGGAGCGACGUGCUGCACCAACUCAAAGAGCUCCACAUGGACCUCACCAACUACUACGAACUCAAACACCAACCUCACAACCUGAGGUUUCUGACAGACAGCCUGGGAGGGGCGGGGCUAACAGGUGUUGGAGGGGUAGAGCUAGAUGAUCGCCUGGCUCUUCCUCCUUCCUCCUGCUCUUCCUCCUCUGCGGCGGCGAGCAGAGCCAGGAGUCCGCUCAGAACGUCGUCUCGCCUGAGUGUGGCGUCCGGAGAGGCUGCUUCCAUCAUGCUGCCGCAUCACUUCCUGGACGGAGCCCCGCCCAAAACAGCUGUGAUUAGUGGGGCGGAUGGACGACUGAGCGACCACCACCUGGAAGAGCUGUACAAAGAGAGGUCAGCUGGUUGCUUUAGUUCCGCCCUCGAGUCUUAAACCUCAUAUUUAGAAUAACGUUACUAUCUGCAAUGUUCCUAUAUUUUAUUUGGACCAUUAGCUCCAUGUUACUAACUAGCUGUUUAAAAAAUCACCCAUCAGCCAACACCACGAAGCAACCAACGCCAGACCCACAAUGCAACACCAGACCCACACCGCACAGCCAAGACACAGCUAGCCGGACAACCCCAGUUAGCUUAGCUACAGUAGAAAGCUAUCGUUAGCUUUGUACUGCUACAUCCAUCAGACAAUAUGUUCCACUAGCUUAGCAGUAAUGUUAGCUUUGACUUUGUGUUGGACUCUGUGUUGGACUCUGUGUUGUGGACUCUGUGUUGGACUCUGUGUUGGACUCUGUGUUGGACUCUGUUGUGGACUCUGUGUUGGACUCUGUGUUGGACUCUGUGUUGGACUCUGUGUUGUGGACUCUGUGUUGGACUCUGUGUUGUGGACUCUGUGUUGGACUCUGUGUUGUGGACUCUGUGUUGUGGACUCUGUGUUGUGGACUCUGUGUUGGACUUUGUGUUGGACUCUGUGUUGGACUCUGUUGUGGACUCUGUGUUGUGGACUCUGUGUUGGACUCUGUGUUGUGGACUCUGUGUUGGACUCUGUGUUGUGGACUCACUGUUGGCACUCGGGAGCAUAAAGGUCACAACCUUUGACCCUCAUCCUACAUAGAGACACAUAGAGAUCAGUCCACAGACAGCAGAGGAACAAAGCUCCACUACAACCCGUUCACUCUCUGACUCAUAAAAAGUUAUUAAUACAUAAAAAUAAAAAGCUUCCUGAACCUUUAAACACUGAUACCAAUACCCCACUACAAGUAACAGACUACUGUAGAUGUUUAAGGGAUUAGUUUAAUCUAUAGAAAUGCGUCAGAUUAGUUGAGUUAUAUAUUGUAUAUCGUGUAUGUUUCUGUGAUUAACAAUGUUAGCAUCGAUGCCUAAAGUGUGUGUGAUGAAUUAAAAGCUUUUGUCCACGCUUUCGUGCAACCAGUGCUCUGACCGUCCUUGAUAAAUGGAAGUCAUCGCUGCUUAUCUUUCCUCCGCAGCCUCCUCUCAGCCUCCAACAUUUUUAAAUCUGACUGGACUGAAAUCCCACCGCCACAACCGGCUGUACUGCACCGGUUGAACAUUUCCGCCCGUCGUUCCUCCGCCUGCGGAUUAUCCAGCAGCUACAAUACGGUCCUGACACCAGUUAGCGGCUGUGUGCUCCGGCCCUGCUCUCAGGUGAGGUCUGUUCUCCUGGUGCGACCGUCUGAAUGCUAAUGAGGCUGGUGGAUCAUCCGU
rnacentral:lncRNA from 15 species